rnacentral:lncRNA from 1 species
CAACUCCACUUUAUCCCUACUGAUGGCUUGUAAGUUUGUAGAACUUGGAACUACAUACCAGAGAGAUGCAGACACACACACCUAGGAUUGUUAUCUUGCACUGGACUGGAGGGUGAAAAGAAAUCUAAUU